rnacentral:rRNA from 1 species
AGCGUACACGGUGGAUGCCCUGGCAGUCAGAGGCGAUGAAGGACGUGCUAAUCUGCGAUAAGCGUCGGUAAGGUGAUAUGAACCGUUAUAACCGGCGAUUUCCGAAUGGGGAAACCCAGUGUGAUUCGUCACACUAUCAUUAACUGAAUCCAUAGGUUAAUGAGGCGAACCGGGGGAACUGAAACAUCUAAGUACCCCGAGGAAAAGAAAUCAACCGAGAUUCCCCCAGUAGCGGCGAGCGAACGGGGAGCAGCCCAGAGCCUGAAUCAGUGUGUGUGUUAGUGGAAGCGUCUGGAAAGGCGUGCGAUACAGGGUGACAGCCCCGUACACAAAAAUGCACAUACUGUGAGCUCGAUGAGUAGGGCGGGACACGUGGUAUCCUGUCUGAAUAUGGGGGGACCAUCCUCCAAGGCUAAAUACUCCUGACUGACCGAUAGUGAACCAGUACCGUGAGGGAAAGGCGAAAAGAACCCCGGCGAGGGGAGUGAAAAAGAACCUGAAACCGUGUACGUACAAGCAGUGGGAGCACAGAGCAAUCUGUGUGACUGCGUACCUUUUGUAUAAUGGGUCAGCGACUUAUAUUCUGUAGCAAGGUUAACCGAAUAGGGGAGCCGAAGGGAAACCGAGUCUUAACUGGGCGUUAAGUUGCAGGGUAUAGACCCGAAACCCGGUGAUCUAGCCAUGGGCAGGUUGAAGGUUGGGUAACACUAACUGGAGGACCGAACCGACUAAUGUUGAAAAAUUAGCGGAUGACUUGUGGCUGGGGGUGAAAGGCCAAUCAAACCGGGAGAUAGCUGGUUCUCCCCGAAAGCUAUUUAGGUAGCGCCUCGUGAAUUCAUCUCCGGGGGUAGAGCACUGUUUCGGCAAGGGGGUCAUCCCGACUUACCAACCCGAUGCAAACUGCGAAUACCGGAGAAUGUUAUCACGGGAGACACACGGCGGGUGCUAACGUCCGUCGUGAAGAGGGAAACAACCCAGACCGCCAGCUAAGGUCCCAAAGUCAUGGUUAAGUGGGAAACGAUGUGGGAAGGCCCAGACAGCCAGGAUGUUGGCUUAGAAGCAGCCAUCAUUUAAAGAAAGCGUAAUAGCUCACUGGUCGAGUCGGCCUGCGCGGAAGAUGUAACGGGGCUAAACCAUGCACCGAAGCUGCGGCAGCGACGCUUAUGCGUUGUUGGGUAGGGGAGCGUUCUGUAAGCCUGCGAAGGUGUGCUGUGAGGCAUGCUGGAGGUAUCAGAAGUGCGAAUGCUGACAUAAGUAACGAUAAAGCGGGUGAAAAGCCCGCUCGCCGGAAGACCAAGGGUUCCUGUCCAACGUUAAUCGGGGCAGGGUGAGUCGACCCCUAAGGCGAGGCCGAAAGGCGUAGUCGAUGGGAAACAGGUUAAUAUUCCUGUACUUGGUGUUACUGCGAAGGGGGGACGGAGAAGGCUAUGUUGGCCGGGCGACGGUUGUCCCGGUUUAAGCGUGUAGGCUGGUUUUCCAGGCAAAUCCGGAAAAUCAAGGCUGAGGCGUGAUGACGAGGCACUACGGUGCUGAAGCAACAAAUGCCCUGCUUCCAGGAAAAGCCUCUAAGCAUCAGGUAACAUCAAAUCGUACCCCAAACCGACACAGGUGGUCAGGUAGAGAAUACCAAGGCGCUUGAGAGAACUCGGGUGAAGGAACUAGGCAAAAUGGUGCCGUAACUUCGGGAGAAGGCACGCUGAUAUGUAGGUGAAGUCCCUCGCGGAUGGAGCUGAAAUCAGUCGAAGAUACCAGCUGGCUGCAACUGUUUAUUAAAAACACAGCACUGUGCAAACACGAAAGUGGACGUAUACGGUGUGACGCCUGCCCGGUGCCGGAAGGUUAAUUGAUGGGGUUAGCGCAAGCGAAGCUCUUGAUCGAAGCCCCGGUAAACGGCGGCCGUAACUAUAACGGUCCUAAGGUAGCGAAAUUCCUUGUCGGGUAAGUUCCGACCUGCACGAAAGGCGCAACGACUUGGGCGCUGUCUCGACCAUGGACCCGGUGAAAUUGCACUGGUCGUGAAGAUGCGACUUACCCGCGGAAGGACGGAAAGACCCCGUGAACCUUCACUGCAGCUUGGCAUUGGCCGCUGGUCCCGCGUGUAGAGGAUAGGCAGGAGGCAUCGAUCCGGAGGCGCCAGCCCCCGGGGAGCCGCCCUUGGAAUACUGCCCUCGCGCGACCGGCGUCCUAACCCGAGGCCGUCAACCGGCUCGGGGACCGUGCCAGGCGGGCAGUUUGACUGGGGCGGUCGCCUCCUAAAGAGUAGCGGAGGCGUUCAAAGGUUGGCUCGUCCUGGACGGAAACCAGGAGAGAGAGUGCAAACGCAAAAGCCAGCCUGACUGCGAGACUGACGGGUCGAGCAGAGACGAAAGUCGGAGUUAGUGAUCCGGUGGUAUGUGAGUGGAAAUGCCAUCGCUCAACGGAUAAAAGUUACCCUGGGGAUAACAGGCUGAUCUCCCCCAAGAGUCCACAUCGACGGGGA